rnacentral:rRNA from 1 species
AACGCGAAGAACCUUACCAGCCCUUGACAUGUCCCGUAUGGGGUGGGGGAGACCCACUUCUUCAGUUCGGCUGGCGGGAACACAGGUGCUGCAUGGCUGUCGUCAGCUCGUGUCGUGAGAUGUUGGGUUAAGUCCCGCAACGGGCGCAACCCUCAUCUUCAGUUGCCACCGGGUUAUGCCGGGCACUCUGAAGAAACUGCCGGUGACAAGCCGGAGGAAGGCGGGGAUGACGUCAAGUCCUCAUGGCCCUUAUGGGCUGGGCUACACACGUGCUACAAUGGCGGUGACAAUGGGAGGCAAUGGCGCGAGCCUGCGCAAAUCUCAAAAAGCCGUCUCAGUUCGGAUUGCACUCUGCAACUCGAGUGCAUGAAGUUGGAAUCGCUAGUAAUCGCGGAUCAGCACGCCGCGGUGAAUACGUUCCCGGGCCUUGUACACACCGACAUA